AGCUAGCGCCUGAGGAUGAGCCUGCGUCUCAUUAGCUAGUUGGUAGGGUAAUGGCCUACCAAGGCGACGAUGGGUAGCCGGCCUGAGAGGGUGAGCGGCCACACUGGGACUGAGAUACGGGCCAGACUCCUACGGGAGGCAGCAGUGAGGAAUAUUGCGCAAUGGCCGAAAGGUUGACGCAGCGACGCCGCGUGAGGGAUGAAGCUUUUAGGAGUGUAAACCUCUGUUAGGAGGGAAGAAUAAUGGCAAUUCGAACAGGGUUGUCAGAUGACGGUACCUCCAGAGGAAGCCCCGGCUAACUCCGUGCCAGCAGCCGCGGUAAUACGGGGGGGGCUAGCGUUGUCCGGAAUUACUGGGCGUAAAGGGCGCGUAGGCGGGAUAGCAAGUCAGUGGUGCAAACUUGAGGCUUAACUUCAAGCUUGCCAUUGAUACUGUUAUUCUUGAGUUCGGCAGAGGGAAGUGGAAUUCCUGGUGUAGCGGUGAAAUGCGUAGAUUUCAGGAAGAACACCGGUGGCGAAGGCGGCUUCCUGGUCCGAUACUGACGCUGAGGCGCGAAAGCGUGGGGAGCGAACAGGAUUAGAUACCCUGGUAGUCCACGCUGUAAACGAUGGGUACUAGGUGUUGGUUGUAAUGAUCAGCGCCGGAGCAAACGCAUUAAGUACCCCGCCUGGGGAAUACGGUCGCAAGACUGAAACUCAAAGGAAUUGACGGGGGCCCGCACAAGCGGUGGAGCAUGUGGUUUAAUUCGAUGCAACGCGAAGAACCUUACCUGGGCUUGAACUGCAGGUGCUAUCUCCUGAAAGGGAGUUUCCUUCGGGACGCCUGUAGAGGUGCUGCAUGGCUGUCGUCAGCUCGUGCUGUGAGGUGUUGGGUUAAGUCCCGCAACGAGCGCAACCCCUGUCCCUAGUUGCCAUCAGGUCAAGCUGGGAACUCUAGGGGGACUGCCCCGGAUAACGGGGAGGAAGCUGGGGAUGACGUCAAGUCAUCAUGGCCCUUACGUCCAGGGCUACACACGUGCUACAAUGGCCGGUACAACGGGUAGCGAGACAGCGAUGUGGAGCAAAUCCCUUAAAACCGGUCUCAGUUCAGAUUGCAGUCUGCAACCCGACUGCAUGAAGUUGGAAUCGCUAGUAAUCGCGGAUCAGCAUGCCGCGCUGCCUACGUUCCCGGGCCUUGUACACACCG
rnacentral:rRNA from 1 species